UACGUAGGGGGCAAGCGUUGUCCGGAUUUAUUGGGCGUAAAGAGCGUGUAGGCGGCUUGGUAGGUCCGCUGUGAAAACUCGAGGCUCAACCUCGAGACGCCGGUGGAAACCAUCAGGCUAGAGUCCGGAAGAGGAGAGUGGAAUUCCUGGUGUAGCGGUGAAAUGCGUAGAUAUCAGGAAGAACACCCGUGGCUAAGGCGGCUCUCUAGUACGGUACUGACGCUGAGACGCGAAAGCGUGGGGAGCGAACAGG
rnacentral:rRNA from 1 species